GGAAUAUUGCGCAAUGGGCGAAAGCCUGACGCAGCAACGCCGCGUGGGGGAUGAAGGCCUUCGGGUUGUAAACCUCUUUCAGCAGGGAAGAAGCGAAAGUGACGGUACCUGCAGAAGAAGCACCGGCUAACUACGUGCCAGCAGCCGCGGUAAUACGUAGGGUGCAAGCGUUGUCCGGAUUUAUUGGGCGUAAAGAGCUCGUAGGCGGUUAGUCACGUCGGAUGUGAAAUCCCGGAGCUCAACUCCGGGCCUGCAUUCGAUACGGGCUGACUCGAGUGUUGUAGGGGAGACUGGAACUCCUGGUGUAGCGGUGAAAUGCGCAGAUAUCAGGAAGAACACCGGUGGCGAAGGCGGGUCUCUGGGCAACUACUGACGCUGAGGAGCGAAAGCGUGGGGAGCAAACAGGAUUAGAUACCCUGGUAGUCCACGCCGUAAACGGUGGGCGCUAGGUGUGGGGAACAUUCCACGUUUCUGCGCCGCAGCUAACGCAUUAAGCGCCCCGCCUGGGGAGUACGGCCGCAAGGCUAAAACUCAAAGGAAUUGACGG
rnacentral:rRNA from 1 species